UAGUAGAUGCACCCUGAUGGAUAACCCCCAACCAAUUCUGGCUGGGGUUUUUUUUU
rnacentral:sRNA from 1 species